rnacentral:rRNA from 1 species
GAUGAACGCUGGCGGCGUGCCUAACACAUGCAAGUCGAACGAUGAAGCCCAGCUUGCUGGGUGGUUUAGUGGCGAACGGGUGAGUAACACGUAAGUAACCUGCCCUUAACUCUGGGAUAAGCCUGGGAAACUGGGCCUAAUACCCGAUAGGAGCGUCCACCGCAGGGUGGGUGUUGGAGAGAUUUAUCGGUUUUGGAUGGACUCGCGGCCUAUCAGCUUUUUGGUGGGGUAAUGGCUCACCAAGGCAACGACGGGUAGCCGGCAUGAGAGGGUGAACGGGCACCAUAGGCCUGAGGGAGGCAGCAGACUGGAACGGGAGGCAGUGGUGGAGAGUAUUGCACAGUGGGGGCGCGCGUGAUACGGAGGCGUCGGGUGAGGGAAGACCGCCUUCGGGGUAUGAACCUCUUUCAGUAGAGAAGAAGCGGUAGUGACGGUACCUGCAGAAGAAGCACCGGCUAACUACGUG